rnacentral:rRNA from 1 species
GACGAACGCUGGCGGCGUGCUUAACACAUGCAAGUCGAACGGAAAGGCCCUGCUUUUGUGGGGUGCUCGAGUGGCGAACGGGUGAGUAACACGUGAGUAACCUGCCCUUGACUUUGGGAUAACUUCAGGAAACUGGGGCUAAUACCGGAUAGGAGCUCCUGCUGCAUGGUGGGGGUUGGAAAGUUUCGGCGGUUGGGGAUGGACUCGCGGCUUAUCAGCUUGUUGGUGGGGUAGUGGCUUACCAAGGCUUUGACGGGUAGCCGGCCUGAGAGGGUGACCGGCCACAUUGGGACUGAGAUACGGCCCAGACUCCUACGGGAGGCAGCAGGGGGGAAUAUUGCACAAUGGGCGGAAGCCGGAUGCAGCAACGCCGCGUGCGGGAGGACGGCCUUCGGGUUGUAAACCGCUUUCGCCUGUGACGAAGCGUGAGUGACGGUAAUGGGUAAAGAAGCACCGGCUAACUACGU